CGAAAAACAUGAAUGUGUGUUCCUAUGUUGUAGUUUAGUCUUAGUCUUUAAUAAAUAUUUAAGUCAUUUUUCUUUAAGUUAUUUAUCCUUGGCUAUAUACGCUUGGCCAUUAAGAUUUUCAAUCGGCAUCUUUAACAAGAAAAUGUAUCAUAUAUCAAUAGUGAAAGAACCGUAUCCUGGUAAAUUAGACAAGAAAAGAAAACGGCGUGCAGAUUUUAUGCAAAGUCACGUCCGAAACAUAUGAAUCUUGCGAGAAAAUAGUGCGAGAAAACAAUUAGGAAAAUAAUGGUCGAAACAUAUGGACGCCAAUUGUGAGUUCCAAAUUCUGACGGAAUUUCGCAUGGCGCAGAGCUAUACAACGGAUACAAAGUAGGUAAGCGGCCAGUAGUUUAUUGAGCAUGACGGUAUCGCGGCACGAUCGUGUCUUAUACAUGCCUUCUCUAAUGGACUUCGUAUUCUCUUGUUCGGACGCCGAACGUCCCAUGUGGACAAUGUCGAAAGAUGUACACGUCAUCGCGAAACGACGGGGUGAUCCGCACCGAAAUGACAAAGAUACAAAUAAUUUAAAAUUGAAUAUGAAUCUGUAACGGAAGAUGGCUUAAAUAAGUUCAAUCUCCUUUUA